GACGAACCGUGCAAACGUUAUUCGGAAUCACUGGGCAUAAAGGGCGCGUAGGCGGCUCCAAAAGUCAGGGGUGAAAUCCGGCAGUUUAACUGUCGCAGUGCCUUUGAUACUGUGGAGCUAGAGGGAGGUAGGGGUCUGUGGAACUUCCGGUGGAGCGGUGAAAUGCGUUGAUAUCGGAAGGAACGCCGGUGGCGAAAGCGACGGACUGGAUCUCUUCUGACGCUGAGGCGCGAAAGCCAGGGGAGCAAACGGG
rnacentral:rRNA from 1 species